AUUAUGAAUGCAAAAUAUAUUGCCAUAUAGAAGUUUACAACAAUGUUGUUUGGAUGAGAAAGUUCAUUUAUGAACUCUCUAUUCGGUUCCAACCAGAAAGUGUUUGACACUAAUGGGGCGAUAGCUCAAGCCAGGGAAUCAAGGUCUCAUCACAAUCCGAACUCUCCCAGGGAAUCAAGGUCUCAUCACAAUCCGAACUCAAAUGAGAGACUGAACCACAUGAUUGAGAAUCAUGUAUAAUGGUGAUGUCGUUAUUCUCAAGGUUGCUUCUAUGGAUAACAUAUAGAUAUCCAUUGUCUAGGCCUACUACUCAGCCAUUUAUGAAAUGACUACAGAAGAGGUAGCAUCACUGAUGACCAAGCUGAUUGGCUCUAGUACAAGUGGGAGAUUGUUGGAAAUGUGCCCUAAAACCAAUCAUAUGAUGAUACUUUACGGACAUUUCACAUGUUAAACUAAUCUAGUUUAAUAUCAAGGGCAAAGAUUAUUGUUUGAGCCGUCUCAUAUAAAUGUUAUACGCUUAAACGAUAAGUCCAAGGAAUAUGUGAUUGGGAGAAUGCGAUCUAAAAAAGUUAGAUUCAUGAGACCAUUCUUUCGUAGACACAUCCUAAACGUUCCUGAUCAUAGGAUUGCCAAUUGGGCAUUGACAGUCCGUUAAGAUCAGUACGUGUUGUGUCUUCUCUUAGGGAGAGUGACUAGUCUCGAGUCAUUGGUGUGUGUGACAUCAAGACAAGUACGUAGGUGCUCAAUAGAAAAUGAGUUCACUGAACACGAUCAACAAAGAGUUCUCAUAUUCAUGUCACAUGAGAACUCAUGGUUGGGAUAAUGCAAAGUAGUCCUUUGACUUGAGACAUCAUAGUUGUCUUGUGGUUAGGUACUUCAUAUUUGAUUAUGUCAAAGUCACCCCAUCCGCGGGUGUCCAUGGCAUCGUCGGGGUUAAGCCACUUAGCCAUGGAGGCAAGUGAAUGCGCAACAAGGGAUCUCUAACCUUCAAACCGUUUGAGGGAGAAUACUCUAUGAUAUGAUUAAGAAUCUCUGGCUAGAGUAUGAAUGAUAUUUAGGAAGUCGUUCCAAAUCACAUUCAAGGUAAUCAUAUAAGCACACGAAUCACAUUGGAUAGUAGACAUGAAUAAACUAUCAAUCCAAACAAUGUGAUCAAGAGUAUUGUAUUAGAGAAAGACCGUAUUGCAUUGUAAUCCUAAACUGAAUAGGUUCUCCACCUCUUCUAAUUAGCUUGGAUAACCAUGACAUACUGCUAGGUGUCACUCAUGAUUUGUGGAAGCCCUAAACGUGUAUAAUCACUAAAGGGAGAAUUGAAAGUAAGU
rnacentral:lncRNA from 1 species